rnacentral:misc_RNA from 1 species
CCUUUUUUUCGCACCCUGUCGAAUCUGCGUGCGUGUACGACGUUCGCGGAUAAGAAGGUGCUUCAUGCGUGGCUCCACCAGCGCCAACGCGUUCUCGGACGCCAGUGUGCAGGCCGCUGUGCUGGAGGAAUGGAAAAAAAGAAGCGCCAAGCACAAGGAAGCAGCAAUCUCUCUGCGGGAAAAGGUGCGGCAGCUGAAAAGUGAUGCAGAGGCUGGCCGUCGCGCUGCCCAGUGGAUGCAAGAGCGCGACGCUCUCAAUUGCGAGCAGGAAGCCUGCGAAGCGGCGCUGGGUGCGAUAGAGAAGAGCCUUGGUGACGUAGUGUCUGACGCCGACGGUGAGCGCCACCAGCUGGAGCUCUCGGCGCUGAAGGUUUUACUGUCCCAGCAGCUGACGGAGGUUGGUGCCCUGUGGCACACGUCCAAUGCACGGCAGCUCCAAACUAGCUCUAGUGGUGCAGCUUCGGUGGAUCGGGUCGUUGACAUUCGCGAGUGGAUUGCGGAGGAGCUCAGAAAGUGCGAGGCGAACAUAGAGGCACUUGCCACGCCUUCUGCGGGCUUCGAACAUCAGCAAAAGGCCGUCGUCGAGUGCCGUGCUGCUGCCCGGCAGGCACAGCUGACAUUUGCGGCACUGUGCGACUCCUACCACCCAGCACACCAGCUGCGCGUUACCUUUGAGGCAGCGUUGAAGAGCGCGGAGGAAGAUACCUUGGCCCGUAUCGAGGGUGCCCGCGCUCCGAGGGCAGCAGCAACGCCGCCGGAAAUUCUUCGGACCGUGGGGCUCAUCGUGAGGAUGGGCCAGAGCGCACGACAGUUUGAUAUUUCGGCAGCCACCAUGACUGCCUUGGCAGAGCGGGUAUCGGCGGUGUACCCCGGCAUGCCCUCCGCCCAAGUUCACGUGGCCGUCGAGGAGUCUAUAGCGCUUCGGAAAGCGCGGGCGCUGUCGCAGGCUGCCGUGUCAGACUUCCAGCGAACGAACAUCUCUCUUUUGUCCUCAUGCGAAUCUGCGUUUCUUGUUGCCCAGCAGUCGGAAAAGCAGCGGCAGGAGAAGGCAGAGGCUGCGCGGCAGCGCGUAGAAGCGCAAAAUCGGCGGCACGCACAUCUCACAGAGGAACGCGCCGCUUACGAGGCUGUGCUGCGACAGCGCCAGAGCGUCAAGGAACGAAUGCAGGCAGCAGCGGUAGCGAAAGAGAAGGCGCUGCAGGCAAAACGCGCCAUCGAGUUUCAAGAGCGCCUCCGUCUCUUUGAGGCAUACGAAGUGCAGCAGUCGGCGCUCCGGCAGAAGGAGCGGGAGCUGGCGGAGCUGCAGGCGCAGGCAAUGGAGGAGGAGAAGGCAGCACGUAUGCGCCGCAACGAAGAGCGGGUUGAGUACCGACGCCAGCGGGACGAACAGCGGCAAUCAGAGAAGAAGAAGCGCGAGCAAGAACUGCUAGAGCUGCGGGCCAAGAAGCAGGAUGCACUUCAGCGUUUCUUCGCUUCUGUUGAUAAACAGAUCGGUGUGGAGGCCGACCCGCAGCGUUUCCUCAAAGCAACCUCCUCGAGCGCACAAACGGAGCGGUACACGACGCUUGCACAGACCGUGAUGCCGUCGAUAACAGGCUACUCCGAUGAGCAGAUUAUGAAGGAUCCGCGUGUGCGACUGUAUCACGCAUUACUUGCUGCCGGCCUGCACACCACCCCAUACGGACGAGAGGUGGCAACCCGUGGAUACCGCGUUUCCGCUGCCCAGCAGAGCAGCGAGGGAAAUCCUCUGCGUCGCGAGUUCUCAUAAUAGGGUGGAAGGGCCGCUCGCUACGCCUGCGGCGAUGCAAGAAAAGGGAAAGAAGAGGCAGGGUCUGUCGCGUGCUCUUCACGCCACCCCCGCCCUCUCCCCGCUGCAGCACUGGGGCUGUGGUGCCCAAUGCACACAACGGCUACCAAGAAUGGAUGAGAAAAGGUCAAGCUGCGAAAGCAGUUCCCCGGCACCCGCACAAUGAACUGACUGUUUUCGACUGCUUUACACAUCAGCGUUUAUCAGUUGCCAUAGCCACCACCGCUAGCACAUCCACCAGCACCACCAUUUUUACAUGUGAGCCACUGCGCUGUACACGAGUUGUUGUCUCUUCUCCAGUGCAUAUUGUGUCUCCCAGUCUAGACGCAGUGCAUUCAUUGCUGUGCAAGAGGAUGCACAAAGAACAGCGGGGGGAGCCAAGAAGGCUCUCCCCGUUUCAGGUAGACGAGGGACGAGGGCGCACUCACGCAUGUAUUUCGGCACGGUGGCACUGCCGAUGGCCUUCAAAGAUGAUUGCUGCGUUACUGCCCGGCAGAGCGGAGGCUCUGUGCCUUUGGUCACAUGCAGAUUUCGUCUCUGUAGUUUUGCUCCUCUCGGUCGCCUUGCUUGGUCUCCGGCACGCUUGGCUUGCCACUCUCGCACAAAUUCUGCCCUCUUUUUUUUCUUCGGUCCCCAUUCUCACUGUUUCCCCGUCACUCUUACCACGGUUGCUGCGCCCGUCACCUCACAUUAUGACUAUGCCAUGCCAUCCGCCUCGUGUCUUUCUUCCCCUCUCCCUUCCCCUUCCUCCCGGCCCUCCCCCUCCUCACGCACACACCACCCUGCGCCACGUACGUAUCCCCGACUAAUCUGCUCUACGUUGGUUGUCUUUGCACACGACAUGGCCAUCCUGGCCAAG